CCCACUUCACUCAAGUGGUUAGAGUCUCGCUUUAAUACGGCGAUAGUUAUCGGUUCAAACCCAAUAGUAGGUC
rnacentral:tRNA from 1 species